AUGAUUUUUUGCCAUAAUAAACUUUAAGCUUAACAUUUAAAUUAAACCUGUUUAAAGUAAAUACAUCAUAUAUUAUAUUCAUCCAUAUUCAUUAAAUACAACAUAAACCAGUUCAAUAGGAAAUUAAAUCUGAUUUAUUCACAUUAAGUCUAUUUAAUCGUUUCACUGGAAUUCAUUGGAUCCACCUGAAGCCACUCUUUCAUUCCUGAACCAGCAGACCUCGUGCUGAUAAAUGGACCGAGUUUGGUAUUCUCUCUUUGGAUUUACUUUGUGAAAACCAGGGCAACCUCUUAAUAGUUUGUGUGAAUGUGGGAGUGUAAACUUUGUGACAUAUCACCAGUAUCAAGCAGGUAUUGAGCUCAGCGUUAUUCUUGUAAUUUAGUGCUCUUCAGAUCACACUAACAGUUGCCUCUGGAUCAAUCUCAAUCUCCACACACACACACACACAGGAGAUUGUACUAAUUUGUACAACUGUCAAUAAAUGUAUUUGUUUUUUAUUUAUUUUCCAAAUUCCUUUCCAGGCUCCUUGUUGUCGUAAUAAAUAUGGAUAAUUGCUCUAAUGUAUGUCCUACCUUCUUAUUUCUUCGCAAAAUGAUAUUUAACUUGUGUUUUUGUAAACAGUGAUU